rnacentral:rRNA from 1 species
UACGUAGGGUGCGAGCGUUGUCCGGAUUUAUUGGGCGUAAAGAGCUCGUAGGCGGUUUGUCGCGUCGGCCGUGAAAUCUCCACGCUUAACGUGGAGCGUGCGGUCGAUACGGGCAGACUUGAGUUCGGUAGGGGAGACUGGAAUUCCUGGUGUAGCGGUGAAAUGCGCAGAUAUCAGGAGGAACACCGGUGGCGAAGGCGGGUCUCUGGCCCGGUACUGACGCUGGAGGUGCGAAAGCCGUUGGGGAGCAAACAGG